rnacentral:rRNA from 1 species
GAUGAACGCUGGGGCGUGCCUCAUACAUGCCAGUCGAGCGAACAGACGAGGAGCUUGCUCCUUUGACGUUAGCGGCGGACGGGUGAGUAACACGUGGAUAACCUACCUAUAAGACUGGGAUAACUUCGGGAAACCGGAGCUAAUACCGGAUAACAUGUUGAACCGCAUGGUUCAACAGUGAAAGACGGUCUUGCUGUCACUUAUAGAUGGAUCCGCGCCGCAUUAGCUAGUUGGUAAGGUAACGGCUUACCAAGGCAACGAUGCGUAGCCGACCUGAGAGGGUGAUCGGCCACACUGGAACUGAGACACGGUCCAGACUCCUACGGGAGGCAGCAGUAGGGAAUCUUCCGCAAUGGGCGAAAGCCUGACGGAGCAACGCCGCGUGAGUGAAGAAGGUCUUCGGAUCGUAAAACUCUGUUAUUAGGGAAGAACAAAUGUGUAAGUAACUAUGCACGUCUUGACGGUACCUAAUCAGAAAGCCACGGCUAACUACGUG